ACUGAAGUAGAUGUAGAUUUUGUAAGGAAAGCUGUCCGUGCAAUUGGUAGGUGUGCAAUCAAGCUAGAGAGAGCUGCUGAACGAUGCAUAAGUGUGUUGCUUGAGCUGAUCAAAAUUAAAGUGAACUACGUGGUUCAAGAGGCUAUUAUAGUCAUCAAGGAUAUUUUUAGAAGAUAUCCUAACACUUACGAGUCCAUCAUUGCAACACUCUGUGAAAGCUUAG
rnacentral:misc_RNA from 1 species